UAUAUUUCCCUCCACAAACCCUAAACCCCUCUUUUUCUGUCUCCCUAUAGACUCUCAUUCAGCGCCUCAAAACUCAGACCCAUCUCUCUCUCUCUGUCUCUCUCUCUCUCUCUCUCUCUCUGUUAUUGCCUCAAAGAGUGCAGAGUCUCUUUGAAGCCAUGGCUUUGGUCCUGCAUGCGGGGUGCGCCAACAAGAAUGCUUUUAAGGCACUUAUUGCUGCGGAGUACAGUGGAGUCGAAGUUGAAUUGGUGAAGGAUUUUGAAAUGGGUGUGUCAAACAAAACUCCUGAGUUUCUCAAGAUGAACCCAAUUGGAAAGGUUCCUGUGCUCGAGACACCUGAUGGUCCUGUAUUUGAGAGUAAUGCCAUCGCACGCUAUGUGACACGUGUGAAGGCUGAUAAUCCUCUCUAUGGCUCUUCACUGAUUGAAUAUGCCCAUAUUGAACAGUGGAUUGAUUUUGCUUCAAUGGAAAUUGAUGCUAACAUAUCGCGCUGGUUGUACCCACGAUGCGGUUUUAUGGUUUACCUUCCACCGGCUGAAGAAGCUGCAAUUGCUGCACUGAAGAGAGCACUAGAUGCUUUGAAUACGCAUCUUGCUUCCAACACUUACCUUGUUGGGCAUUCUGUGACACUUGCUGAUAUCAUUAUGACUUGUAACUUGUAUACCGGAUUUGGCCGGAUCUUGACUAAGAGUUUUACCUCUGAAUUCCCUCAUAUAGAGAGGUACUUUUGGACCUUAGUUAAUCAGCCAAAUUUCCAGAAGAUAUUGGGUGAGGUGAAGCAAGUUGAAUCUAUUCCACCUGUUCAGUCCACAAAGAAGCCUUCACAGCCAAAAGAACCUGCAAAACCUAAGGAGGUCAAGAAAGAAGCAGUGCCACCUAAAGCAGAAGAGGCUGCUGAGGAAGAGGCACCCAAGCCCAAAGCAAAGAAUCCUCUUGAUCUUUUGCCCCCUAGCAAGAUGAUUCUGGAUGAAUGGAAAAGGCUGUACUCGAACACAAAGACUAAUUUCCGUGAGGUUGCAAUUAAAGGGUUUUGGGACAUGUUUGAUCCUGAAGGCUACUCCCUUUGGUUCUGUGAUUACAAGUAUAAUGAUGAGAAUACUGUAUCGUUCGUUACUUUGAACAAGGUGGGUGGUUUCCUGCAACGUAUGGAUUUGGCUCGUAAGUAUGCAUUUGGGAAGAUGCUGAUUAUUGGCUCAGAGCCUCCAUUCAAGGUGCAAGGGUUGUGGCUCUUCCGUGGAACAGAAAUUCCUCAAUUCAUUAUUGAUGAGUGUUAUGAUAUGGAAUUGUACGAAUGGAAGAAGGUUGACAUUAAUGACGAAGCCCAGAAGGAGCGUGUCAGUCAAAUGAUUGAAGAUUGUGAGCCUUUUGAGGGGGAGGCUUUACUGGAUGCCAAGUGCUUCAAGUGAUAAGGAUAUACUACUGAGAAGUAGAUCAAUUGUUAUACGGUCCUCUUUAUGACAAGCUUCAAUUCAAAUUUUCUUGGUUUUUGCUCCAGACAAAAUUGCUUCUUUUCUCAUAUUUUCCCAGUAGUAGUUAAAUGACACUGGUAUCAUCUUAUGUUUUUUGGUCUCAUGACAGUGUGGUGGGAUAUCGAUAGACGCAUUGAAUUAUAUUAGUUGCAAUGUAUUAAUAUAUCUGGGAGAGCAAGCUCAGGUGCUUAUUCCUCCAUUAAUCAUGUUGGAGCUUACCUUGGUCUCCUGUAAUUGUAUUGAGAGGUUGCAAUGACAGUCACUGGGAAUUCUGCACGAGGCACGCACAUUUAAGAUUAAAAAUAUGGCAUUUUGGGUUA